AAUUCUUAUUUUAAAUGGGCUAACUUUCCAUAGCAAACAACGGGGCAUCACCCUCGGCAGCACCACAGCAGGUGGCUUCUGCUGCAGACCAGCUCUGGUACUCAGGAAGUCAUCAGAGCUGUGUGAAGUAAUCCAGUGUUUGCUAGAGGUCAGGUAGGACAGCUAGGAGCCCCAGCAGGGAAUGGCAGUGCCCUUUGGCAAUUAGCCCUAAACUGGGGCACACUGGUGGGCCUUAGCAAAGAGUACUGCAGUAAGAAUAGGCUGUUUGCCAUUCAGUGGGAAAAGGGACAGUGAAUGGUUAAGUUUGUCUAGUGUAGGACACCAACCCACAUUAGAACUGUAUUGGGAAGUAAGGAAAACAAGAGAAGAGGAAAUAAAUCUGUGUAGCUCUUCUCUGACUCUGCUAGCAGUUAUCACCAGAAAGGACUGGAAAGAGACAAGAACAAAACAGUACUUCCCCCUUCCUGGCGACUUGGGACUGCAGGACUUCCUGCCCCAAGGAGAUUAUCUUUGUAUUUCAUGGAUUUCUCCUAUGAAUUUGUUCAGCUGCCAUGUAAAUAAUUAGAGCUGUGUGGAAAAAUAUGGUUUUGGUGUUGCCUGAAAAAAAUUACUUCUGCUAAUUGUAUGUCCUCCUUAUUGAGAAACCCUACACAACAGAUCCACAUUUAUAUUCAUGCACUCAUGACUGCAUAAUCUCUGUCAGAAGCUAUUCAUCUUUCUGCUUUCCAGAGUUAAGAGUCCAGAUUAUUUCACUAUUCUGGUAUGGAAGCUACUCCACACGAGUAAUCAUCCUAUCUGCCUUCCUGUGCACCUCUUCUAGUUCUACUACAGCCUUUGAAAUGGAGGGUCCUGGACAGCAAGGGACUGGAACUGCAGAGUACUCAAGAAAGAGGCCAGGUGUUCACUUCUAUAUGGAGUUGUCUGCUACCUGUCUUCUGGGAUGCACUGCUUGCAAACAAAGAGAGUGGAAUAGACGCUAAGGAAGGACAUCAAUCUCUUAAGCAAAUUAGGAAAAAGCAUCCUUCUGCCUCUGAUUCCUCCUUCUCAAAAAGAAACACCUCCUUGCCAUGCUCUCCUUGGGGCCUUCUCACUGCUGCCAUUGCACCCAGACCCUGCAAUUCUUACCUCAAAUGUUUCCACUAGAACAUCUGCGGUUACCAAGGGCCAAAGGGGAGUUGGAAACUUCACAAAAUCGACAUCUAGGAAAUUCUGUCGGAAGCGCUCCAGAUUUCUGGCUUCGUAGCGUAAGUCAAUCUCAAGGGAGAAAUAGAAAAGCAGGUUGGAAAUUAGAUCCAACUAGGAUUAGACCUUCAGGAUCCUGUGUGAAUUGCAAUGCUCAACACCAACAAAACUAGUCAGAAAGCCAGAAUGGAAACAAAAAAAAAAGUGGUGCUUUUUUACAUGCUCACAGCCUCCCUGAUGGAAGAGGAGCAGACUGGAUAAUGGAUGGUCCACAUCCCAACACCUUCAAAAUAUGGGUCCCUUACUAGAGGCAUGGUUUCUCAAAAUAGACAAGGACCACGUCAUAUUCAAAAAUGCAACAAACUGAAUCCUAUCCUGAACCAAAGUUUGCUGUCCAAACAGCAGGGCAGGCAGACAGAAUAGAAGAACUGCAGCCCCAGCCCCACGUGAUAGAGAGGCAGCCACAGCAGGAAGAAAUUCAAUGUAAUGCAUACAAAAUAAUCCACUGUGCCGAGUCCAGGCCCUGGUUCUUCUGUGAUCCAGUGUCUUGACACAAGGGCAUCUCUCCUACUGCUUGCUACUGCUCCAGAAACCAGGAUAACCUUGCCUCACCUCCCUUGUCUGACAGUGGGGAAUACCUCAGGAAUGCUUCUUGUUCAUUCAAAGGGAAAAAGCUACAAUGAGCCUAUCAGCUGUUCUCCUAACCCUCAGCCUUCUGCACAUCCACCCAAGCUCUGCCAAACUGGUAUGAAUGACCUCAAGUCACAGCUGACCACAGUCAACAGUUCCCAGUAUGGAUUUACUGUGUAGAGGUUUUGCAAUUGUAGAAAACAAUUAACGUUUUCAAAAGCUUGUUACAGACUUCAGACUCUGCAAUCUAGACA